GGCCGCGUGGCUCAAUUGGCAGAGUAUCUGACUACGACCAAGUAGUUACAUCAGGAGGUUCCAGGUUCGAGCCCUGGCGUGGUCA
rfam:Triticum urartu cultivar G1812 contig1389695, whole genome shotgun sequence.